AAGAAAAAAAUGUAUUUAAAAAAAAACACCACUAUAUAAUUUUUUUAACCUAGAAAAAUCCUGGCAUGUAUGAAAAGAAAACGAGAAAUGUAUAAGGAUCACUGUAAUUCUGAAUAUUAUGAUGGAAAACUGGAAAUGAAUUAAAUGUACAAAAUAGGAGAAAAGUUAACAAAUUAUCUUAUAUCUAUAGGUUACCUCCCAAUUAGGCAGAUCUCCAAGUAUCCACAUGGAAUGACUUCAAAGACAUAUUAAAUGAAAAAAAAAGCAUGUUACAAAUUAACAGUCCAUCUCAGUUGGGCCAGCUACAUUCAAGCACUCAACAGCCAUGUGGCCAGGGCUAUCAGACAGCACAGUAUUGAAAACACAGUAAUAGCAAGAGAAGUAAAAUAGAGCUUAUCAAAAUGUGAACCAUCCCGGCCGGUGUGGCUCCAUGCUUGAACAUUGACCUAUGAACCAGGAGGUCAUGGUUCAAUUCCAGGUCAGGGCA